rnacentral:rRNA from 1 species
GAUGAACGCUGGCGGCGUGCCUAAUACAUGCAAGUCGAGCGAACCACUUCGGUGGUGAGCGGCGAACGGGUGAGUAACACGUAGGUGAUCUGCCCAUCAGACGGGGACAACGAUUGGAAACGAGCGCUAAUACCGGAUAGGACGAAAGUUUAAAGGUGCUUCUGGCACCGCUGAUGGAUGAGCCUGCGGCGCAUUAGCUAGUUGGUGGGGUAAAGGCCUACCAAGGCGACGAUGAGUAGCCGACCGGAGAGGGUGAACGGCCACACUGAGACUGAGACACGGCCCAGACGCCUACGGGAGGCGACAGUAGGGAAUCUUCGGCAAUUGGCGAAAGCCUGACCGAGCAACGCCGCGUGAAUGAUGAAGGCCUUCGGGUUGUAAAAUUCUGUUAUAAGGGAAGAACGACUUUAGUAGGAAAUGGCUAGAGUGUGACGGUACCUUAUGAGAAAGCCACGGCUAACUACGUGCCAGCCGCCGCCGUAA